GUGCUCACUUCAGCAAUACAUAUACUAAACUUGGAACAAUACAGAUAAGAUUAGCAUCUUUGCAAUGUAAGGAUGACAUGCAUAUUCAUGAAGAAUUCCAUAUUUUU